rnacentral:lncRNA from 1 species
GUUUGCUUUGGAGUUUCUAGUUUGAAAGUACUAGGUAGGGACUUGGUAUGCAAGCAAGAGGAGGACAAUUGGGUUUAUAUAUGUUUUUAAAUAUAACAAUAGCAAAACAUUGCUAUGAUUGUCUCGAAAACUCUCUGCGUCUUCCCUUCUUCAUGUAUGGUCUGGCUUUUAGCUUAGGGGUGGGUUGUUGGGUUGUCUUAAAAUAUAUAUUAACAUGAACAUUAUACACAAUUUUUUUUUUUGUUGGCAGGUGGGGUAGAUGUCCUCCCACCGUGACCAAGAUAAUGCGAUUCUAAUGAGCUUAAUGUUGAAAAUAUUUUGUCCAAAAAAAAGGCUUGUCUGAAUAGAGGCAUGUGAUAUACAUCGCCGUAUUUUGCCCUCUACCUAUAGAUUUAUCUAAAAAAGUUUGACCCGGCCGACUCGCCUAUCAAAAUCGAGCUUUCCACAUCUCCAGCCUCGGCACUGCUGUCGACCUCCAGCCCUUCAAAUCGCCAACCGCCUGCCGUCCACCUUUGCUGGAGUUAAUGCCACAGACUUCAACUACCAGAUGUUUGAUGAAAUGCCCAGCCCGCUCAAUCGCCAACUGCCUACUCUUCACCUAAGCUUGUAGAUUUGUAGAACCUGGAGAGGAUUUAUUGGAGCAGGAAGGAUACUUAUAAUACACAAAGCAUUGGCAAUGAUGGCCAAGGGAGAGGACAGGGACUCUCUGAUGGUAACCAUCAUCAAACACUGUGAAUAAUGAAUUGUUCUCUUGGAGUUUGUAGCGGCAGAGCUCGUCACAAUCUACGAAAAGGAUGGAGGAGCAACGAACAAAAUGAACAAGCAGAACAAAGAUAUGAUCUGAAACUAAUAUUUUAUGUUGUAUUGGAUGUAGAAUGCCUCCAAGCCUUUGACUU